rnacentral:rRNA from 1 species
AUGUCGUCACUCGCCGCGGACACCGCCACCGUCGACUAUCUGCCGCUCGAGGAAGCAGACGCUGAUGACUACAUGCACGGGCUACCUGACCAGCAAGAAAAGGAGGAGGAAGAAGAGGAAGAGAACAUCACGAAGAAGAAGAAGAUUCCAACGAGAAUAGCUCCCUGCAGAUUAACGGAGAAGACAUCCACGCGGAAAACCAAGCUACAAGCGGCCGACACACUUCCUCCCAUCAGCCUCACGAGUGCUCCAGAUGACCCUGCCGUGACCAAGGCGCUGAAGACAGUGGAGGCGCCGGCUGACGAGCGCGACUGCCCGAUUUUCCUGCAGGAUGACGACGACGACACAACGGCAGUGGCCGGCGCGUGGAAGGAAACGCCGUGCGGGCACCGCUUCCACGGGCGGUGCGUGCAGAGGUGGCUGCACGCAGAAGGGAGCUGCCCCAUGUGCCGGCGCCAGGUGGUGACGAAGCCCACCACCCCUGACACUAGCAGUGUUGCAUCCCUGCGUUCAGCAUUGGCGUAUAUCUUCGAGGCGUAUGGCCAGGAUGUUGUCACGGAGUUACAGCAGCAGUUCCCUCUCUAG